rnacentral:rRNA from 1 species
UGGGGAAUAUUGCACAAUGGGCGCAAGCCUGAUGCAGCAACGCCGCGUGAACGAUGAAGGUCUUCGGAUCGUAAAGUUCUGUUGCAGGGGAAGAUAAUGACGGUACCCUGUGAGGAAGCCCCGGCUAACUACGUGCCAGCAGCCGCGGUAAUACGUAGGGGGCUAGCGUUAUCCGGAUUUACUGGGCGUAAAGGGUGCGUAGGUGGUCCUUCAAGUCGGUGGUUAAAGGCUACGGCUCAACCGUAGUAAGCCGCCGAAACUGGAGGACUUGAGUGCAGGAGAGGAAAGUGGAAUUCCCAGUGUAGCGGUGAAAUGCGUAGAUAUUGGGAGGAACACCAGUAGCGAAGGCGGCUUUCUGGACUGCAACUGACACUGGGGCACGAAAGCGUGGGUAGCAAACAGG